rnacentral:rRNA from 1 species
GCCAGCAGCCGCGGUAAUACGUAGGGUGCAAGCGUUAAUCGGAAUUACUGGGCGUAAAGCGUGCGCAGGCGGCUUUGCAAGACAGAUGUGAAAUCCCCGGGCUCAACCUGGGAACUGCAUUUGUGACUGCAUGGCUGGAGUGCGGCAGAGGGGGAUGGAAUUCCGCGUGUAGCAGUGAAAUGCGUAGAUAUGCGGAGGAACACCGAUAGCGAAGGCAAUCCCCUGGGCCUGCACUGACGCUCAUGCACGAAAGCGUGGGGAGCAAACAGGAUUAGAUACCCUGGUAGUCCACGCCCUAAACGAUGUCGACUGGUUGUUGGACGGCUUGCUGUUCAGUAACGAAGCUAACGCGUGAAGUUGACCGCCUGGGGAGUACGGCCGCAAGGUUGAAACUCAAAUGAAUUGACGG